rnacentral:misc_RNA from 1 species
UUUCCGUAGGUGAACCUGCGGAAGGAUCAUUAUUGAAUUCCAAACCGUAAAGGACUUGUGCUGUGCACCUUUCUCGGGUUGCACGCCUCGUCCGAUACAAACUCACACCUGUGCACCUUUUGACCCGCAUAUAGUCGGGUCCUUACACACUCUAAAGAAAUCUUAGAAUUUAUUGAAAAAAAAAUGUAUGACAACUUUCAACAACGGAUCUCUUGGCUCUCGCAUCGAUGAAGAACGCAGC